UGCGAGGGCCCACCUCAGCAUCAUCCUCCUCCCUUAUCUUCCUUCUCGCGCCCGGCCCAGCUUCUUCUCCGCUGCGGCCCCCUCUCCCAAACACGGUGGCAAUCCCACCGGAGAUAAACUGCCACCACCGCAUGUUGGCGACCUGGCAGCAAUCUCGCCCAGACAAGGCAGCAAAUCUCGCUGCCAUCUUCCUUCUCCCUACUGCUUGGGAGGAACAAGCCAAACCUUGGACAAGCCACCACAAGGGACCAGCUGCUUUGGGACCCGGCAGCACGAAGGACCUGCCGACGACGUGACCUGCUGCCGCUGGGGGGAGGUUUGCUUCGAGCUGCCAGUGCUCGGAGGCUACCGCACGACCUGGCUGAACAACGGCAUCAAUGCUACAACCACGUAUCAAAAAGCUACAACCACCCUGCAAUGAUGCUGCAACGCGUGAACACCGGAGCUACAACCAGCAAGGAGCUACAACCGAUCUGCGGAGAUGCUACAACCACGCACACUGGAGCUGGAACCGGUGAAGUGUCGCCGACUAAUGCUACAACCGUUUACGACAAUGAUACGCCGACGGUGACGACGAUGUGUGUUUUUGCUACAACUGGCGGUUGUGAAAGCUACAAUCGGCGUCGCUGGAAGCUACAUCCGGCCAUGGCGUUUUGUAACCGCCGGUUGCAGCUUUUCGUUUGUCGUCCAUGGCUUACAGCUCCAUAGUUGAAGCUUUUUUCAUUGUCGGAUGAAGCAUUUUUCGUCGCCAGAUGAAGCUUUUUUAUCACUGGUUGUAACUUUUCUUUGGUUCUUCAUAGUUUUCCGUCGUACGAGUUGAAACUUUUUUCAUAGCCGGUUGAA